rnacentral:lncRNA from 1 species
AUCACUGCCCAGUAAAUAUCAAUGUGAGCGAAAUCAGAAGUGAUGGUAUGAACAUAGUCAAAACUGUUUUCAUCAACUGAUCAUUUGCAUGUACAUUUGGCACUGUGCUCUGUACACAAGCUAGAAAGGUUCUAUAUGACUGGUGAAUCCUUUAAAAGGCGGAUGCCAAUCGCAAUAUGCUAGAGAAACAAGGCCUGGGAGUGUCUACGAGCUGAGAAUGUUCAGGAGUAAAACCCUGCUUUGGAUCAGUCUCCUGAACAGAAGCUCCGCACCGUUCUCAAGAUCUCCCAUGCUUCGCUCUAGCACCUGCAACUGUUCCUCCUCGCAAACGACCUUUCUUUUCUGGAUAAGAGACCAUUUGCUUCCUUUGGUAGUGGCGAACUGCUUCGGCAACAGCUGCGAUGUGGACUCGAGUAGAGAGACAGACAUCUCUCUGGCUUCCGCCAGUAGCCUGAUCAGCCUGCAAUCCUCACCACUAGCUUUGCUGCUUGUGAUCUUCUUGAAAGGCUUCUGAGCCUGCUUCGCCAGGCGAAUGAAGGACUCAACCUUGAGUUGAACAGCCGCAUCAUCUCCUCUUUUGAGAACCAGUUGCAGCUCCUGGGUACUCAUCUUCAGCUCUGCUAAAUUCUCUUGCAUGGAAUUGCAAAGAUCAAUCAGCACGAGGGAUCGCUCCAGUUCCUCUUCCACCAUUUUCUUGUUUUGGGGGAAGGAGAGGCCAACUUGGUUGCUGGGCAAGCCCAUGAUCUCCUCUAUGCAGUUGUAGAUGUCUCCAAGCCUUGCAUAACCACCACACAUUGUGUCGAUGGUUGCGGAGGGUGAAGAGAUGCAUGACUCCAGGCCCUGCAGCUCCACCUCCACUUUGGAUUCACUGGAGUGGGCGAUAGAAGGCAAACUUGCAGAUCUUUGAUGGCAAGCCAUGUUUCUAAUGGAUGAGCUGAUGAUGUGUUUCUGUUUGUAGUGCAAGAGAAAGUGAAGGGCAGGUGUGCUUUCUUGGUGCUCGACCAUUGUGGUGGACUCUAUUUAUAGUCAAGAAACAAAAGCAGUCUUGCUGGCAAAGCCAGUUAGGCAGCAAGAGUAUUGUGCAUAACCAUCUCUGUCCAAUACAAUCUUGUUAGGAGACAAGAAUCACUAAGUGCAUGCCAUGUCUUAACAAUUGGCAGCAAAGCAUCAGCACAAUGCUUAAGGCAGAAUCCAGAUCACCAAACAGAGACAAAAUAAACUAGAAUGCAAGUCAUGCGGCUGAGGUGUAUGUUGAAGGACUAGAAGACUUCACCUUCCAACAGCCUGUCAAUUUGGUUCCGAUAGUUGCACCUUCGCCCCAAUUGCCGUGAAGCACUGUUGCUGUGCUGGUAUGUCUCUGCUACCUGCGGCAUGAUCCACCACACAUGCAUUAUAAUCAUCAAUAGAUGCUUCACUUCUUCUCAUGCAACAUUUACUCGUUUAGAACAUAAGCGAAAACUAACUCAUAAACGUCACUGGAACGGGUUCUAGCUUGCAAAAUUCUAGAUAUUCUGCUUCUGUAAGAAAUAUGUUGUGUUAUCCUUCAGUAGCAGAAGUAGAGGUGCACAAUUUGGCCAAUUGCAUGAGAAAUUUGAGAAUAAGGCACAACGGAUUGAUAUACAGACAGAAAGUAUCUCUAUCUUGCAGAUCCCAUGUACUCACAUGGCCACCACAGCCUCAGCCAAGUUGGUACCUUUGUCUAUCUUAGUUUAAAACAGCACGCGUUGCUAAAUUACUAAACAGUGCAGCCUUGACAUAUUCCAAACGUAGGCAAACUACUACAGGAAGACAAAUCGCUAUUUUUGUAUUUCCAAUCUGUCAUGUUUCAAUUAUGUCCGGCAAAAUGGACUGCACGAGUACCCAGAGUUGUUUUCUGCUAUAAGGUGGUGGGCAAGAAUCGCAGUUCAUGAGAGGAAAAGUUGAGACACAGAACCUCCAAAAACGUGUUCAAUGCUAAUAUGGGCCAGUCAGCUUCAAGAUAAGCAUGAACCUCACGGAGUACGACUGACAAGUUUUAUCCACCUACAGUAAGAUCCAAUUAUUGUUUCAAGAGUACUUCAUAAUAUAGAUAAGGAAAUAAAUGCAUCCAACUAGUGUUCCCUAUGUGUCAUUUUUCAGCUGUUCGAGAGAGAAAAAACGGAAUGCACGGUCGAUAAUCUGGGUGCGGUAAUAGAGAAAGUUAACUCUUUUUUCUGUCUUGGACACAAAGUGACAAUGUGUCCUAAUUUCACCGAGAAGAGAAUAUAGAACAACUUCGAUUGAAUAAAUUACCGGUCUAUCUCGCUUAAUACUGCAGAUUUCUGUUUUAACCUACUAACAGCCCAGAUGACAACAAACAACUGUUAGAAUGUGCAGUCUUCACGAGAACUGGAUGAGGAGAUAAAUUAAUAUAUCUAAUUAGUGUUUCCUAACUGUCACGUUGCAGUUGACCCUGAGAGAAAAAUGGAAUGCACGGGGGUUCAUGUUUGAUUUGGCCAUAGCACCAGUGAGAAAGAUUAAUGAAAGCAUAGGAUACAUCCGAUUACAUCUCAUAUGGCUAGUGCACCUAAUGUUUUCCCUAGGACACAGUGUCUAUAAGUUGUUAAGAGAGAGGAAAGGAGUUGACUUAACCUACAGAAGCACACUCAGUCCAGGUAACAUCUAGAUAAGCAUGAACUCAACACCUCGUGGAGCAUCGCUGUCUUGUUUCAUCAACCUGCAACAAGAUCCGCCGCAGAACAGAAGGAUCAGCAUUAUUCUUGACCAGCCGAAAAAGAAACUCGCUUAAAGAGGUGUGAGAUAACUUCACGUGCAAUAGAAUAUCAGCUGAGCUAGUGGUUAGUAUUGCCUCUAUUCAGAGGAUCUAAAUAAUUGUUGGCAUGUGUUUGAUUAAGUCCAGUACAUCUGCUGGGCAUAAUGUGCUUCUACCUUAUGCUAGUGAUCAGGCUAAUAAUGAGUGGCUAUCACAUGGCCCAGAGCUAGCAUGUUCAUGGUUGUUAAGAGUAUUGUAGGCAAACGAUAAUGGCGCCGAUUGACGUAACAUGGCCGUUUCAAAGGUAAGAUCAAAUAAAAAUCAUACAUGUCUACAACUUAUAGCUAGAAAUAAUUACACAUAAAGCUCCUACCAAAGUUCAGAACGAUUAAUAUUCACCUAGACUCUGCAUGCCGUUUUCUGAAGAGGAAUUUCCUUUUCGGUUCCUUAGCAUUCAUCAUAUACUUGAAAGAGAACAUAUCGACAUGACAUUCAGCUAAAAAGAAAAUCUAAAUCACCGGCCGGUAAAGAUCGGUGAAAUCACAAAUAAUGAUAUGGGCAUAGUCAAAACUGCUUUCGUCAACUGAUCAUUUGUAUGUACAUUUAGUAGUGUACCCAGUACACAAGCUAAAAAGGAUCUAUAUGACUGGUGAAUCCUUUAAAAGGCAGAUGCCAAUCGCAAUAUGCUAGAGAAACAAGGCCUGAGAGUGUCUACGAGCUGAGAAUGUUCAGGAG